rnacentral:rRNA from 1 species
GGGUCAUCAGUAUUCAAUUGCCAC